UGUGUGUCUGCGCGCGUCCGUGUGUGUCUGCGCGUGUCCGUGUGCUCCUGUGCGUGUCCGUGUGUGUCUGCGCGCGUCCGUGUGUGUCCGUGUAUUUUUCUGCGCGUCAGUGUGACCCUUGCGUAUCUGUCCACGUGUCUGCGCUGUGACCGUCUGUGCGCGUCCCCGCCACGUGUACGUGUCCGUGCGAGUCCCUGAGUCCCCGUGCUCGUGUGCGCGUGUCCGUCUGUCCGCGCCUCACUGCACCCACGGCGUCGCCAGUUGACGUGUAACGUCGCUCCUUCCCUCCGCAGCCUCGGAGCGCGGGGAAAACUCAUCAAACUACUCUGCUCCAGCCUGAGGGCCGCCGUGUGCCGCCGUCGCCGCCGGUUCAGGAGCGUCGGUGGAGAGCGGGACACGUUGGCGGGGUUUCUGCUGUUGGGGGGGGGGGG